UGCCAGACUCCUACGGGAGGCAGCAGUGAGGAAUAUUGGUCAAUGGACGCAAGUCUGAACCAGCCAAGCCGCGUGAGGGAAGACGGCCCUAUGGGUUGUAAACCUCUUUUGUCGGAGAACAAAACCCGGGACGUGUCCCGGACUGCGUGUAUCCGAAGAAAAAGCAUCGGCUAACUCCGUGCCAGCAGCCGCGGUAAUACGGAGGAUGCGAGCGUUAUCCGGAUUUAUUGGGUUUAAAGGGUGCGUAGGCGGUCCGUUAAGUCAGCGGUAAAAUUGCGGGGCUCAACCCCGUACUGCCGUUGAAACUGCAUCCCUUGAGUGCGCGAGAAGUAUGCGGAAUGCGUGGUGUAGCGGUGAAAUGCAUAGAUAUCACGCAGAACUCCGAUUGCGAAGGCGGCAUACCGGCGCGCAACUGACGCUCAUGCACGAAAGCGUGGGUAUCGAACAGGAUUAGAUACCCUCGUAG
rnacentral:rRNA from 1 species